rnacentral:rRNA from 1 species
UACAGAGGUCCCAAGCGUUGUUCGGAUUCACUGGGCGUAAAGGGUGCGUAGGUGGUGAGGUAAGUCGGAUGUGAAAGCUCGGAGCUCAACUCCGAAAUGGCAUUGGAAACUACCUUGCUCGAGGGUUGGAGGGGGGACUGGAAUGCUUGGUGUAGCAGUGAAAUGCGUAGAUAUCAAGCGGAACACCAGUGGCGAAGGCGAGUCCCUGGACAACUCCUGCACUGAGGCACGAAAGCUAGGGGAGCAAACAG